AACGAACGCUGGCGGCGUGCCUAACACAUGCAAGUCGAACGGUAACAGGUCCUUCGGGACGCUGACGAGUGGCGCACGGGUGAGUAACGCGUGGGUUACCUGCCCAUAAGUGGGGAACAACUUGGAGAAAUCCAAGCUAAUACCGCAUAAUACCUUCGGGUUAAAGAGGGGGAUCUUCGGACCUCUCGCUUAUGGAUGGUCCCGCGUCUGAUUAGCUAGUUGGUGGGGUAAAAGCCUACCAAGGCAAUGAUCAGUAGCUGGUCUGAGAGGAUGAUCAGUCACACUGGAACUGAGACACGGUCCAGACUCCUACGGGGAGGCAGCAGUGGGGGAAUAUUGCACAAUGGGCGAAAGCCUGAUGCAGCGACGCCGCGUGCGGGAAGAAGGCCUUCGGUUGUAACGCUUUCAAGGGAAGAAGGAAUGAGAGUUAAUACCUCUCUGCCUUGACGGUACCUGUAGAAGAAG
rnacentral:rRNA from 1 species